GACCAGGACACAAACUCAACACUAGGGACUCUGAAACUAAAAUAUGCAAAGGCUAUGGCGCGGAUGGGUUGUAGGACAUGAAAACAAUAUGGCAAUAGACUUAUGGGACGAACACAAGGACGCUUCAAACUAAGGGUAGAUGUGAACCUAACGAUAUGUCUGAAGCUUUGACUACCACUUCAGGAGAACAAGUGUUGCCCGAUCUUCCGAAACUUUCUGGUA
rnacentral:lncRNA from 1 species